rnacentral:rRNA from 1 species
AUUGAACGCUGGCGGCAGGCCUAACACAUGCAAGUCGAACGAGUGGCGGACGGGUGAGUAAUGUCUGGGAAACUGCCUGAUGGAGGGGGAUAACUACUGGAAACGGUAGCUAAUACUGCAUACCAUCCGCUGUGCUCCGAUGGGCUUAGCUUGGUGGUGGGGUAACGGCUCACCAAGGCGACGAUCCCUAGCUGGUCUGAGAGGAUGACCAGCCACACUGGAACUGAGACACGGUCCAGACUCCUACGGUGGGCAGCAGUGGGGAAUAUUGAACAAUGGGCGCAAGCCUGAUGCAGCCAUGCCGCGUGUAUGAGGAAGGCCUUCGGGUUGUAAAGUAUUUUCAGCGGGGAGGCGUUACCCGCAGGAGAAGCAACGGCUAACUCCGUGCCAGCAGCCGCGGUAAUUC